rnacentral:rRNA from 1 species
UACGUAGGGACCAAGCGUUUGUUCGGAUUUACUUGGGACGGUAAAGGGCGCGUAGGCGGCGUGACAAGUUCACUUUGUGAAAUCUCCGGGCUUAACUCGGAACGGCCAAGUGAUACUGUCGUUGCUAGAAGUGCAGAAGGGGCAAUCGGGAAUUCUUGGAUGUAGCGGUGAAAUGCGUAGAUAUCAAGAGGAACACCUGAGGUGAAGACGGGUUGCUGGGCUGACACUGACGCUGGAGGCGGCGAAAAGCUAGGGGAGCAAACGGG